AGUGAACGCUGGCGGUAGGCCUAACACAUGCAAGUCGAACGGCAGCACAGUAAGAGCUUGCUCUUACGGGUGGCGAGUGGCGGACGGUUGAGGAAUACAUCGGAAUCUACUUUUUCGUGGGGGAUAACGUAGGGAAACUUACGCUAAUACCGCAUACGACCUACGGGUGAAAGCAGGGGAUCUUCGGACCUUGCGCGAUUGAAUGAGCCGAUGUCGGAUUAGCUAGUUGGCGGGGUAAAGGCCCACCAAGGCGACGAUCCGUAGCUGGUCUGAGAGGAUGAUCAGCCACACUGGAACUGAGACACGGUCCAGACUCCUACGGGAGGCAGCAGUGGGGAAUAUUGGACAAUGGGCGCAAGCCUGAUCCAGCCAUACCGCGUGGGUGAAGAAGGCCUUCGGGUUGUAAAGCCCUUUUGUUGGGAAAGAAAAGCAGCAGGUUAAUACCCCGCUGUUCUGGCGGUACCCAAAGAAUAAGCACCGGCUAACUUCGUG
rnacentral:rRNA from 1 species